GUGCCAGCCGCCGCGGUAAUACCAGCCCCGCGAGUGGUUGGGACGUUUACUAGGCCUAAAGCGCCUGUAGCCGGCCCUGUAAGUCCCUCCCUAAAGGCCCGGGCUCAACCCGGGAACCGGGAGGGAUACUGCAGGGCUAGGGGGCGGGAGAGGCGGGGGGUACUCCCGGAGUAGGGGCGAAAUCCGUAGAUCCCGGGAGGACCACCAGUGGCGAAGGCGCCCCGCUAGAACGCGCCCGACGGUGAGAGGCGAAAGCCGGGGCAGCAAAAGGGAUUAGAUACCCCUGUAGUCCCGGCUGUAAACGAUGCCGGCUAGGUGUCGCGUGGGCUUAGAGCCCACGCGGUGCCGCAGGGAAGCCGUUAAGCCGGCCGCCUGGGGAGUACGGCCGCAAGGCUGAAACUUAAAGGAAUAGGCGGGGGAGCACCACAAGGGGUGGAACCUGCGGCUCAAUUGGAGUCAACACCUGGAAG
rnacentral:rRNA from 1 species